rnacentral:rRNA from 1 species
UACGGAGGGUGCGAGCGUUGUCCGGAAUCACUGGGCUUAAAGGGCGCGUAGGCGGGUUUGCAAGUCUGCGGUGAAAGCCCCCAGCUUAACUGGGGAAGUGCCGUGGAUACUGCGGACCUUGAGGAGGGUAGGGGCAUCUGGAACAUUGGGUGGAGCGGUGAAAUGCGUUGAUAUCCAAUGGAACUCCGGUGGCGAAGGCGAGGUGCUGGACCCUUUCUGACGCUGAGGCGCGAAAGCCAGGGGAGCAAACGGG